rnacentral:rRNA from 1 species
ACGAACGCUGGCGGCGUGCUUAACACAUGCAAGUCGAACGGAAAGGCCCUGCUUUUGUGGGGUGCUCGAGUGGCGAACGGGUGAGUAACACGUGAGUAACCUGCCCUUGACUUUGGGAUAACUUCAGGAAACUGGGGCUAAUACCGGAUAGGAGCUCCUGCUGCAUGGUGGGGGUUGGAAAGUUUCGGCGGUUGGGGAUGGACUCGCGGCUUAUCAGCUUGUUGGUGGGGUAGUGGCUUACCAAGGCUUUGACGGGUAGCCCGCCUGAGAGGGUGACCGGCCACAUUGGGACUGAGAUACGGCCCAGACUCCUACGGGAGGCAGCAGUGGGGAAUAUUGCACAAUGGGCGGAAGCCUGAUGCAGCAACGCCGCGUGCGGGAUGACGGCCUUCGGGUUGUAAACCGCUUUCGCCUGUGACGAAGCGUGAGUGACGGUAAUGGGUAAAGAAGCACCGGCUAACUACGUG